AGGGCGUUCACACCUCCGGGAACCAGCAUGAACUCCGAGGAGCAGGGCAGUGGACACGGAACGCGGGGCUGCGAGGAGCCACAUGUGCCUGGAGCCAGAGCACAGAGGGGGUGGGGAGUCCUCGGAGACCCAGGCUGGACUGAGGGGGAGCCGAGCACAUGACCCCACACUCGAGUGCGCCCGAUGCCCUGACUGCCCGAAGUGUCCCACAUGCCAAGUGUGCAAGAAAUGCCCUGACUGCCCGAGGUGUCCCACAUGCCAAGUGUGCCAGAAAUGCCCUGACUGCCCGAAGUGUCCCACAUGCCCAGUGCCCAAGCCAUGCCCUGUCUGCCCUCCGCCUCCAACAUGCCCAGGUCCUGAACUCCUGAUAGGGCCUUCGGUCUUCAUCUUCUCUCCUAAACCCAAGGACACCCUCACAAUCUCCCGAACCCCCGAGGUCACCUGCAUGGUGGUAGACGUGAGCCCGGAACAUCCCAAUGUCCAGUUCACCUGGUACGUGGACAAUGAAGAGGUGAACACGGCCACGACGAAGCCAAAAGAGGUACAGCUCAACAGCACCUACCGCGUGGUCAGCGUCCUCCCCAUCCAGCACCAGGACUGGCUGAGGGGAAAGGAGUUCAAGUGUAAGGUCAACAACGGAGCCCUCCCGGCCCCCAUUGAGAAGACCAUCUCCAAGGCCAAAGGGCAGGCCCGGGAGCCACAGGUGUACGUCCUCCCCCCAAGCCAUGCUGAGCUGUCCAGAGAAAGGGUCAUCGUGACCUGCCUGGUCAAAGACUUCUACCCACCUGAUAUCAACGUGGAGUGGCAGAGCAAUGGGCAGCCAGAGCCGGCGGAGAAGUACAGCACCACCCCGCCCCAGAGGGAGGCCAAUGGGUCUUACUUCCUGUACAGCAAGCUCUCGGUGGAGACGAACAGGUGGCAGCAGGGAGACGUGUUCACAUGUGGGGUGAUGCACGAGGCUCUCCACAAUCACUACACGCAGAUAUCCACCACCAAGUCUACGGAGAUGGUCCUGGACGAGAGUUGUGCAGAGGCCCAAGACGGGGAGCUGGACGAGCUGUGGACCACCAUCUCCAUCAUCACGCUCUUCCUGCUCAGUGUGUGCUACAGCGCCACCGUCACCCUCUUCAAGGUGAAGUGGAUCUUCUCCUCUGUGGUGGAGCUGAAGCCGACCAUCGUUCCCGACUACAGGAACACGAUCGGGCAGGGGGCCUAGGGCCACACCUCCUGGGCGGGCUUCCCAGACCGCCCCGGACCCCAGACAGGAUUCGAGUCCUUUGCUUCAUAAUGCUCAGCCUGCCGCCCAGACCUGCUCUGCUGCCCCCUGACCUCGCCGCCCCCUUCAGCCUGCACCCCACCCCUGGCCUCGUGGUCAGCACAGGCUGCAUCCUGCCCCCUGACUUCAUUUGGAGAAGCGAGUGUAAGGCAGUUGUAACCCUGAGCUGAGCUGAUGGACACUCACCGGCCCCUCCAGAGCAGCCACCAAGAAACGCCAGGGUCAUGUGGACGCUGAGUCAUCAGAGCCGAGCGUCCCUCACCACGACUAAUCCGGGGUCCGCGUGUGCCGUCACGCUGGAGGAGGUGGAGGGCCGAAGUGCCCAUGUCUGUCUGGACAGGGACGGGCAUUCAUGCAAACCACAUCCACGCCAGAGUCCAGGACACCGGCUUCCCAGGAGGAGACGUGUGGUUUCAGAUCGCUGAGUGGGAACAUCUGCCACCAACUCCAGUAGGAUAUGGGGCCUUCCGCCACCAACAGAGAAGUUUACAGACAUGCCCCUAAUGGUCACUCAGUCACCGCCUCCCAAGGAGAGCACUCAGAGGAAGGCCUGGGCCAUGGCCACUGCAGGAGCUUGGGUGGUGGGGGCGACACCACCAGGGGAGGGGUGAGUGUCCCGCCAGACGGGCCUCCUGUCCGGCCAGAGGGGUCUAGUGUCCAGGUCACCAAGCAACGAGAAGUGGCCUUGGUGGACAGAGGUGAAGGAGUGCCAGGAGAGCAGCGCCACAGGCACAGCCACCCCGACCUGAUGCCAGCAGGGCCUGAGUCAUGGUCCACAGGAACUCCGGUUGCUCCAUGGCCCAGGGGUGAGAGAGGAGACCCCUCAAUAGAGAGCCUGUGGCCUUGGGGAACUGACCAGGUGGACCAACCUCCAACCUCUAGCCCCACUGGCCCCAGAACAGAUUCGCCCCUCACGUCUCUGAGCAAAUGGCAAGUCGGCAUCUCUAGAUGAGAAAGACACCGAUGCUCACAGGAAGGAGAGGCGGACCCCCACCGUGACUCUGUGGGACAAUGCGCAGAGAGAUUGCUCAAAGAAAGGACACGUUGUAGUUGGGGUAGCUUUUUCCCUUCUUUUUAAAUUUCUGAGGCCCAUUGACUUUCUUUAUUCUUACUUCGUUUAAAACAACAA